rnacentral:rRNA from 1 species
GACGAACGCUGGCGGCGUGCUUAACACAUGCAAGUCGAGCGGUAAGGCCCUUUCGGGGGUACACGAGCGGCGAACGGGUGAGUAACACGUGGGUGACCUGCCCUCAGCUCUGGGAUAAGCCUGGGAAACUGGGUCUAAUACUGGAUAUGACUCCACGGUGCAUGUCGUGGGGUGGAAAGCCUUGUGCGGCUGAGGAUGGGCCCGCGGCCUAUCAGCUUGUUGGUGGGGUGANGGCCUACCAAAGGCGACGACGGGUAGCCGGCCUGAGAGGGCGACCGGCCACACUGGGACUGAGACACGGCCCAGACUCCUACGGGAGGCAGCAGUGGGGAAUCUUGCGCAAUGGGCGAAAGCCUGACGCAGCGACGCCGCGUGAGGGAUGACGGCCU